GUCGCCGUGUUCGUUCCGACGGUGUUUCUGGCUUUGUUUUAUUCAAAGCUUAAGUUAAAGAAAUGAUUCAGAGUUAGCCCUCGAUCCGCGUGCUGGAUUGCAGCCAGACGCGGUGCUGCGGCUCUUUGGGACUCCGGAAAUACCCGGCAGGACCGGGAGGGCAACCGAGGGCUCCCAGUCUGUUGGCUGGGAUGGAAGCGCGGUGCCGCGGCUGCAGCCUUUCAGAUCUUAAUUGUUCUGAACCGGCGGGGUAUUUCAGCAGAGCCGACGCGGCAACGGGGGGAGCAAUCGCACCUACGGGAGGAGGACGUCGUGGUUUUCGAUUUCCUCUCCGUCUCGCACACAAACACCGCGUUUCUGGGUCUGUCUGUGUACACACGCGUAGCGAAUUGUGGGUGGCUGCGUAUCGCACACACGCGUCCGUAAAUUGCUCUAAUAUGUUUCCACGUUCAGGGGCCGGAUCGGCAGCAAAUAAAUGCUCCCUGAUUUAGAGCGCUCCUCAGGUGCCGCAAACACCGAUGAACCAAAAUCCGCACGUAGGAAAUGGGCGCUCCCUUCGCACGCACACGCAGACACACACGGCCAGAGAGAGGGAGAAGAAGAGGGAGGAAAAGAAAGGAAAGGGGAACUCGAUUUAUUCUCAUUUGUUUAUCUCUGGAUUUUCCCCCCUUUCUGCAAAUUCAUUUGAAUAGCUUUCAAGCUGCAAAAUGGAAAUGUGGCUCCUGCCCUCUAUUUCAGCAGCAGCGUCCUGGCAACAGAGCAAUUUUCUAUCAUCAAGGAUAAAUGGCAUCGAACAGAACAUUCUGAUAAAAAAGAAAAAAAAAAAAAAAGCUUUAGCCCGAGAAGCCCAUGAUUGCUGCCCUUCCUGUCUGUCAUCCCUUUACAAAAUCCUCUCCUCCAAACCUGAGCUGCAUGCUGUCAGAGCUAAUAACGUCUUCUAAAGAAAAGGGGAAGAAACGGCAUUCGUGCACAAUGUUCCCAUUUAUUACAUAGAGUGCUUAUUUUAAAAAAUCGCAAAUAUAUUUGUUUGGUUCACCGCAAAUUAAAACCAAGAUAUAGGAAGUUACGCGAUGCAACAAUUAUUCGUGUCACAGCAGAGCAUCAAACCCCCGGAUCUUGCUUUUCCAUUGGUUAGCGCGUGUGUGCGCGUUGUGUGUGUGUGUGUGUAACGCAGGGAAUAUCCCUUGUUAUGAAAAUAAAAAUCCACUCCGAUCCUCCCGGUAAGGCUGGCUUUUGUUGCUGGAGAGCUAAGGGGGAACAAAACGCGCACUGAUGGAGGCAGUGCGGAGCGGGGGGCAGAGCGCAGAGCCGCCCGCAGAGGCCGGUCGGUGUGCGGGGCCGCCGGGCGAGGUGCGGCCGUCCCGGCCCCCCAUACUGGCUUCGGCUGAGAGCGCGGCGUGCGCGCCUGUACGGAGAGGGGCUGCAAGGCGUGGAGGAGCCCUGUGAGGCUGUCCGAGCUCUCAGCGCAGGCCGAGGACGUGCGGGAAGACAAGGCCGGGAGGCGCUGCCGGAGCGCCGGGGAGAGGCGAUGGCUGCGUGCGGAGGGCACCCGGCCCGCACCUGCGCCUCCUCCCCCGGCCCGUUCCCACCGCCGCUCCGUGACGACGGGAAGAUUAACGAGGCCUCUCAGCAGCACCUGUCUGUUUAAGCUGUCGACACAGCCAAUUAAUACUUUUAAUUACCCCUACCGGGAAACUAACCAGAGCCCCUCCGCUUUGGGUCGCCCGCUGCGCUUUCUCACCCGCAAAACGAAGCAGAGCGGCGGAGGGAGGAGCGGCGUGGGGUUGGGGGGGGGGAGGAAUUCCUGAAAGACUGGGGAUUAUUACAGGGGGUCGGGAGGGAGAUUUGAGUUUGGGUUUAUUUCGCUCCGCUUCCCCCAGAACUCCGGGGCCGGAGGAACGCGCGGCUCUGGCUCUCAGGAGGGCUCCCUGAGCCCAUCCCGGCCCGCUCGGCCCACGGGCUCCCCGAACACGCGGCUCCGGCCCGACAUCGGGCACCGCUCCCUCCGCCCCGGCGCUGUGCGGAGCCGGGCGCUCCCUUCUGGGAACCCCGUGCCGCUCUCGGGCCUCGCAGCUCUGUCACAGCCGCGGUGUCCCGCGUUAAAACAACGUAAAUCCGCGACGGAUCCUGAAUGUGAAUGAGGCAUGGGUCGUGUGACUGCUGCUGAGCUGUGCCGCGCCGAAUGUGGCUUUAAUUAAAUGUCUUCCGGCUCUAAAAGAUUACACGUUGUGCGAGAUAUAUCCUAGCGUGAAAUUCACUUCGGCGAUACGAAAUGAGGUUACUUAUAAAUGUCUUCAUUUAAAAAGGAAAAGCGCUUCUCCCCGUUCUGCUUUCUGCUUUGUCGAAUCGAGCGCUCCGGCGAGGAGGAAGGGCUGGGACCGUAUAUUUAUAGCGGCACGUGUAACAAAACCUGCCCGGGCGGGCGGGCGAGGGCUGCUCGCUGCAAUUCGCAGCACGGCGAAGUCAAUCCCGAGCUGAUUCGUUUCAGCCCCGCUGUCAGAGCCCGCUGCCUCCGCACCCCGCGCUGCGGAGCUCCCGCCUCCUCCCCCCGCAUCCCUCCGCGGCUGUGCCGGUGCUGGGCGUGGGUCGGGCAGGUGGGGAGAGUCGGUCAGAUCCUCUUACAAAAUAAAAUCAAAUGAUAUAAAAUAAUGCAAAAUAAUUCGAGUCAGGGGGAGGACGGCUCGCUGCGAGCCUCGGACCGCCGGCAAAGAGCGGCUGCACGGGGCCGACGGCACCGCGCUCGGUACGGGGGGACCGAAGCCGCAGCCGGCAGUGUUCUGUUGGUCCGUUCCUUUUUACGCCCUCUGGUCUGGGAUCUCGCCUAUAGUCCGUUGAGACCCUGACAAAAGAGGCUGUAGAGAGAUGGAGAUGCGAGAUAAACCCAUCGGGCAAUCUCAUUACGUGGCAACGAGCGAAGAGCCCUCCUCGCAAUCGACUCGAGAUAACGAGGCUGCCUGGAGGAACGAGCGAAGCCCGGAUAUUUACUUCUUUUCCUAUUAAAUAAACCUCAAUAACUGCAUUGGCUUUGCGCGGUGUUUACUACAUUUUCAUUCAGCGUUUGGGUAAAUGCAUCCCUAAAGGUAGAGUAAAUAAUUGCACUGAUCUCAACAAGGGAAACGUGUAGGCAUCUGAAGCGUACUAAAAAUAAACGAAGGCGAUCAGACUGCGGGGAGAGGACCCCGCGCUCGUUGCCGCAGUUAAAGCCCCUCUCCCCCAUCGGGGCCGCCCGGACGGGGCCGCGCUGCGGGCGGUGCGCG
rnacentral:lncRNA from 1 species